rnacentral:tRNA from 1 species
GUAACCCUUACUGUAUAAGGGGUGGUCGGGUACUGAAAAUCCCCGUGUCGGCGGUUCAAUUCCGUCCCUGGCCACCA